rnacentral:rRNA from 1 species
GCGCAGCCUGAUGCAGCCAUGCCGCGUGUGUGAAGAAGGCCUUCGGGUUGUAAAGCACUUUCAGUCAGGAGGAAAGGUUAGUAGUUAAUACCUGCUAGCUGUGACGUUACUGACAGAAGAAGCACCGGCUAACUCCGUGCCAGCAGCCGCGGUAAUACGGAGGGUGCGAGCGUUAAUCGGAAUUACUGGGCGUAAAGCGUACGCAGGCGGUUUGUUAAGCGAGAUGUGAAAGCCCCGGGCUCAACCUGGGAACUGCAUUUCGAACUGGCAAACUAGAGUGUGAUAGAGGGUGGUAGAAUUUCAGGUGUAGCGGUGAAAUGCGUAGAGAUCUGAAGGAAUACCGAUGGCGAAGGCAGCCACCUGGGUCAACACUGACGCUCAUGUACGAAAGCGUGGGGAGCAAACAGGAUUAGAUACCCUGGUAGUCCACGCCGUAAACGAUGUCUACUAGAAGCUCGGAGCCUCGGCUCUGUUUUUCAAAGCUAACGCAUUAAGUAGACCGCCUGGGGAGUACGGCCGCAAGGUUAAAACUCAAA